rnacentral:tRNA from 1 species
GGACGGCCCCGCCGGGCCGGGGCAGGCUGGCUCUGAGCCGGCCCCGCGGGGCCGGGGCAGGCUGGCUCUGAGCCGCCGGCCGCCUCCC